ACGGGUGAGUAAUGUCUGGGAAACUGCCUGAUGGAGGGGGAUAACUACUGGAAACGGUAGCUAAUACCGCAUAACGUCGCAAGACCAAAGAGGGGGACCUUCGGGCCUCUUGCCAUCAGAUGUGCCCAGAUGGGAUUAGCUAGUAGGUGGGGUAACGGCUCACCUAGGCGACGAUCCCUAGCUGGUCUGAGAGGAUGACCAGCCACACUGGAACUGAGACACGGUCCAGACUCCUACGGGAGGCAGCAGUGGGGAAUAUUGCACAAUGGGCGCAAGCCUGAUGCAGCCAUGCCGCGUGUAUGAAGAAGGCCUUCGGGUUGUAAAGUACUUUCAGCGGGGAGGAAGGCGGUGAGGUUAAUAACCUCAUCGAUUGACGUUACCCGCAGAAGAAGCACCGGCUAACUCCGUGCCAGCAGCCGCGGUAAUACGGAGGGGGCUAGCGUUGUUCGGAAUUACUGGGCGUAAAGCGCACGUAGGCGGCUUUGUAAGUCAGAGGUGAAAGCCUGGAGCUCAACUCCAGAACUGCCUUUGAGACUGCAUCGCUUGAAUCCAGGAGAGGUCAGUGGAAUUCCGAGUGU
rnacentral:rRNA from 1 species